rnacentral:rRNA from 1 species
UACGUAGGUGGCAAGCGUUGUCCGGAUUUACUGGGCGUAAAGAGCGCGCAGGCGGUCGUUCAAGUCGCGUGUGAAAGCCCCCGGCUCAACUGGGGAGGGUCACGCGAUACUGAUCGACUCGAAGGCAGGAGAGGGAAGUGGAAUUCCCGGUGUAGUGGUGAAAUGCGUAGAUAUCUGGAGGAACACCGGUGGCGAAGGCGGCAUCCUCGGACCGGCAUUGACGCUGAGGAGCGAAAGCCAGGGGAGCAAACGGG